UACGAAGGGGGCUAGCGUUGUUCGGAAUUACUGGGCGUAAAGCGCGCGCAGGCGGUUUUUCAAGUCAGUGGUGAAAGCCCGGAGCUCAACUCCGGAAAUGCCAUUGAAACUGUGAAACUUUGAGGAUGAGAGAGGUGAGUGGAAUUCCCAGUGUAGAGGUGAAAUUCGUAGAUAUUCGCAAGAACACCAGUGGCGAAGGCGGCUCACUGGCCCGGUACUGACGCUGAGGUGCGAAAGCGUGGGGAGCAAACAGGG
rnacentral:rRNA from 1 species